rnacentral:rRNA from 1 species
AUUGAACGCUGGCGGCAUGCUUUACACAUGCAAGUCGAACGGUAACAGGUUAAGCUGACGAGUGGCGAACGGGUGAGUAAUGCAUCGGAACGUGCCCGGUCGUGGGGGAUAACACUUCGAAAGAAGUGCUAAUACCGCAUACGAUCUAAGGAUGAAAGCGGGGGACCGUAAGGCCUCGCGCGAUCGGAGCGGCCGAUGUCAGAUUAGGUAGUUGGUGGGGUAAAGGCCUACCAAGCCGACGAUCUGGAGCUGGUGUGAGAGGACAACCAGCCACACUGGGACUGAGACACGGCCCAGACUCCUACGGGAGGCAGCAGUGGGGAAUUUUGGACAAUGGGCGCAAGCCUGAUCCAGCAAUGCCGCGUGCAGGAAGAAGGCCUUCGGGUUGUAAACUGCUUUUGUACGGAGCGAAAAGGCUCUCUCUAAUACAGGGGGCUGAUGACGGUACCGUAAGAAUAAGCACCGGCUAACUACGUGCCAGCCGCCGCGGUAA